rnacentral:misc_RNA from 1 species
AAAAAUGAAUGCAACCUCUUCUCAGCCUGAAUCUACAACCUGUAAAUACUGGUAAAUCCAGAACAUAACCCUCUUCAUUCUUCUCCAAAUCUUCUUAUCCCUCAUGAAGAAGCAAAAGUAAACAGAUAGAUAAAAUACAAUGAAAAGAUUUACAUCUUCACAUCAAUAAAUAUGAAUGUGCUAAGAUGAACAAAUCAGAUGGGGGAACUGCAAGCAUGAACUGAUGGCCAGAAGGUGAAACAUGACGCAACUUCUGUUUAAUUUGCAGCUGUUAGAAACUCCAUCGAAGAUGCUUUUCCAUUCUCUUGUAGGAAUUUUUCUAGCACAGGCUCAUUGUAUGCUUUCGAAAGGAAGAAUGGUUCUUUUUCAUGCACCCCAUCAUUAUCUGCAAUAAUUCUCUCCAGAUCCUUUCUUGUCAAGACUUCAUACUUGAGCAGCUCCUCUACAAUCUUCUCUAGCACUUGUCGAUUUUUCUGAAGCAUGCCUUUUGCUUUAUCAUAAGCCAUAUAGUACAUCUUUUCCACUUUUGCAGCCAUCUCAUAUUCAAAAUGGUUUCCCAUACUCAAAGUCGUGACCGAAUUGCCAUGAUGGUAAAUUGUAGGACUAUCAUCAGGGCCCCAACCAUACUGAAUCACCAUCCUUGUAGCUAUCUCUUCAGCCUGCUUCAGCUCUGAAGAAGAAAGAAUGUUUUCUUCCCCAAAUGGAAGCAAUAGCUGGGCUGCAACAUAAGAACCAAAGCAAAAAACUAGUCUCUUCUCCAGAUAUGAUCUUGAUUCAACAUUCCCGCUGAUAGAAUCAUUUUUAGCUUUGGUGAUCUUUGUACACCCAAUUCCCUCCCAAGAGAAAGGCUCAAGCCACAGAUUAUCCACAACAUCAAAGUUUGGUAAAAGAAGAGCAAUUAAACUCCGACCUGCAGCCCAAACAGCAUGUGGAAAUUUUGUUUCCAUUGUCCAAUCAAGAGGAGGAUUUAGCAAUUCAGUUCCAUUGCUUAUUUGACCAUAAGGCUCCAUUAGAUCAACAACACUUUCUAAAUUCUCUUUCGUCAAUGUCAAUCCAAGAUGGUUCACCAGCAUUCUACUAAUUUGCUUAACAGCUUUGGUCUUCCUUAACCAUUUCGGGACAAGGCUGCUGAAUGUCGCAAACCAGCUGCAGUACGUCAUAAGCUCAUCUAUGUCCAGGAAUUUGCUUCUAAAGGCGCUACCUUCCAAGGCCACGGGAACAAGUUUCAGUUCACUUGGACGCAAAAGAGCUGUUUUCUCUGCAACCUUUCUCCAAUCUACAAAAUCUAUAAGCUCUUCAUCCAUAGUUCCUUUUGCAGCUAUCCUAAGUAUCUUCUCUCUUUCAGCUUGAGUAGGCCGCUGAAGACGGAAUAUCCUAUCCAUACGACCAGGACGCUGCAAGGCCUCAUCGAUUUGCUUUAGAUUUCUAGUAGUAGCCAUCAAAACCACCCCAUCCUGUUUUUCAAACCCAUCAAGUUCCACCAAAAGUUGAUUGAUG